rnacentral:rRNA from 1 species
AGCAGCUUCGGUAAUUCCAGCUCCAAUAGCGUAUAUUAAAGUUGUUGCAGUUAAAAAGCUCGUAGUUGAAUUUCGGGGUCAGUAGAUUGGUCGUGCCACUGGUAUGUACUGGUCUUACUGGCUCCUCCUUCCUGAUGAACCGUAAUGCCAUUAAUUUGGUGUUGCGGGGAGACUGGACUGUUACUUUGAAAAAAUUAGAGUGUUUAAAGCAGGCUCGCGCUUGAAUACAUUAGCAUGGAAUAAUGAAAUAGGACGUUCGAUCCUAUUUUGUUGGUUUCUAGGAUUGACGUAAUGAUUAAUAGGGAUAGUUGGGGGCAUUAGUAUUCAAUUGUCAGAGGUGAAAUUCUUGGAUUUAU